GAACGCUAGCGGCAGGCUUAACACAUGCAAGUCGAGGGUAUAGUUCUUCGGAAUUAGAGACCGGCGCACGGGUGCGUAACGCGUAUGCAAUCUACCUUCACAGAGGGAUAGCCCAGAGAAAUUUGGAUUAAUACCUCAUAGUAUAGCAGUUUCGCAUGAAACCACUAUUAAAGUCACAACGGUGAAAGAUGAGCAUGCGUCCCAUUAGCUAGUUGGUAAGGUAACGGCUUACCAAGGCAACGAUGGGUAGGGGUCCUGAGAGGGAGAUCCCCCACACUGGUACUGAGACACGGACCAGACUCCUACGGGAGGCAGCAGUGAGGAAUAUUGGACAAUGGGCGCAAGCCUGAUCCAGCCAUGCCGCGUGCAGGAUGACGGUCCUAUGGAUUGUAAACUGCUUUUAUACAGGAAGAAACACUACUUCGUGAAGUAGCUUGACGGUACUGUAAGAAUAAGGAUCGGCUAACUCCGUG
rnacentral:rRNA from 1 species